rnacentral:rRNA from 1 species
UUAAGCGACUAAGCGUACACGGUGGAUGCCCUGGCAGUCAGAGGCGAUGAAGGACGUGCUAAUCUGCGAAAAGCGUCGGUAAGGUGAUAUGAACCGUUAUAACCGGCGAUGUCCGAAUGGGGAAACCCAGUGUGAUUCGUCACACUAUCGUUAACUGAAUACAUAGGUUAACGAGGCGAACCGGGGGAACUGAAACAUCUAAGUACCCCGAGGAAAAGAAAUCAACCGAGAUUCCCCCAGUAGCGGCGAGCGAACGGGGAGCAGCCCAGAGUCUGAAUCAGCUUGUGUGUUAGUGGAACGGUCUGGAAAGUCCGACGGUACAGGGUGAUAGUCCCGUACACCAAAAUGCACAGGUUGUGAACUCGAAGAGUAGGGCGGGACACGUGGUAUCCUGUCUGAAUAUGGGGGGACCAUCCUCCAAGGCUAAAUACUCCUGACUGACCGAUAGUGAACCAGUACCGUGAGGGAAAGGCGAAAAGAACCCCGGCGAGGGGAGUGAAAAAGAACCUGAAACCGUGUACGUACAAGCAGUGGGAGCACCUUCGGGUGUGACUGCGUACCUUUUGUAUAAUGGGUCAGCGACUUAUAUUCUGUAGCAAGGUUAACCGUAUAGGGGAGCCGCAGGGAAACCGAGUCUUAACUGGGCGUUAAGUUGCAGGGUAUAGACCCGAAACCCGGUGAUCUAGCCAUGGGCAGGUUGAAGGUUGGGUAACACUAACUGGAGGACCGAACCGACUAAUGUUGAAAAAUUAGCGGAUGACUUGUGGCUGGGGGUGAAAGGCCAAUCAAACCGGGAGAUAGCUGGUUCUCCCCGAAAGCUAUUUAGGUAGCGCCUCGUGAACUCAUCUUCGGGGGUAGAGCACUGUUUCGGCUAGGGGGUCAUCCCGACUUACCAACCCGAUGCAAACUACGAAUACCGAAGAAUGUUAUCACGGGAGACACACGGCGGGUGCUAACGUCCGUCGUGAAGAGGGAAACAACCCAGACCGCCAGCUAAGGUCCCAAAGUCAUGGUUAAGUGGGAAACGAUGUGGGAAGGCACAGACAGCCAGGAUGUUGGCUUAGAAGCAGCCAUCAUUUAAAGAAAGCGUAAUAGCUCACUGGUCGAGUCGGCCUGCGCGGAAGAUGUAACGGGGCUAAACCAUGCACCGAAGCUGCGGCAGCGACACUAUGUGUUGUUGGGUAGGGGAGCGUUCUGUAAGCCUGCGAAGGUGUGCUGUGAGGCAUGCUGGAGGUAUCAGAAGUGCGAAUGCUGACAUAAGUAACGAUAAAGCGGGUGAAAAGCCCGCUCGCCGGAAGACCAAGGGUUCCUGUCCAACGUUAAUCGGGGCAGGGUGAGUCGACCCCUAAGGCGAGGCCGAAAGGCGUAGUCGAUGGGAAACAGGUUAAUAUUCCUGUACUUGGUGUUACUGCGAAGGGGGGACGGAGAAGGCUAUGUUAGCCGGGCGACGGUUGUCCCGGUUUAAGCAUGUAGGCUGNUUGGUGCCUUCGGGAACUGUGAGACAGGUGCUGCAUGGCUGUCGUCAGCUCGUGUUGUGAAAUGUUGGGUUAAGUCCCGCAACGAGCGCAACCCUUAUCCUUUGUUGCCAGCGGUCCGGCCGGGAACUCAAAGGAGACUGCCAGUGAUAAACUGGAGGAAGGUGGGGAUGACGUCAAGUCAUCAUGGCCCUUACGACCAGGGCUACACACGUGCUACAAUGGCAUAUACAAAGAGAAGCGACCUCGCGAGAGCAAGCGGACCUCAUAAAGUAUGUCGUAGUCCGGAUUGGAGUCUGCAACUCGACUCCAUGAAGUCGGAAUCGCUAGUAAUCGUAGAUCAGAAUGCUACGGUGAAUACGUUCCCGGGCCUUGUACACACCGCCCGUCACACCAUGGGAGUGGGUUGCAAAAGAAGUAGGUAGCUUAACCUUCGGGAGGGCGCUUACCACUUUGUGAUUCAUGACUGGGGUGAAGUCGUAACAAGGUAACCGUAGGGGAACCUGCGGUUGGAUCACCUCCUUACCUUAAAGAACCUGCCUUUGCAGUGCUCACACAGAUUGUCUGAUGAAAAUAGAGCAGUAAGUAAUCUCUGCAGGCUUGUAGCUCAGGUGGUUAGAGCGCACCCCUGAUAAGGGUGAGGUCGGUGGUUCAAGUCCACUCAGGCCUACCAAAUUUGCGAAGCAAAUUUGAAGAGGUUGCAAACGAUGGGGCUAUAGCUCAGCUGGGAGAGCGCCUGCUUUGCACGCAGGAGGUCUGCGGUUCGAUCCCGCAUAGCUCCACCAU